rnacentral:rRNA from 1 species
UACGUAGGUGGCAAGCGUUGUCCGGAUUUACUGGGCGUAAAGAGCGCGCAGGCGGUCGUUCAAGUCGCGUGUGAAAGCCCCCGGCUCAACUGGGGAGGGUCACGCGAUACUGAUCGACUGGAAGGCAGGAGAGGGUAGUGGAAUUCCCGGUGUAGUGGUGAAAUGCGCAGAUAUCAGGAGGAACACCGGUGGCGAAGGCGGCUCACUGGCCCGGUACUGACGCUGAGGUGCGAAAGCGUGGGGAGCAAACAGG